GACGAACGCUGGCGGCGUGCCUAAUACAUGCAAGUAGAACGCUGAAGGAGGAGCUUGCUCUUCUGGAUGAGUUGCGAACGGGUGAGUAACGCGUAGGUAACCUGCCUGGUAGCGGGGGAUAACUAUUGGAAACGAUAGCUAAUACCGCAUAACAGUAGAUGUUGCAUGACAUUUACUUAAAAGGUGCAAUUGCAUCACUACCAGAUGGACCUGCGUUGUAUUAGCUAGUUGGUGGGGUAACGGAUCACCAAGGCGACGAUACAUAGCCGACCUGAGAUGGUGAUCGGCCACACUGGGACUGAGACACGGCCCAGACUCCUACGGGAGGCAGCAGUAGGGAAUCUUCGGCAAUGGACGGAAGUCUGACCGAGCAACGCCGCGUGAGUGAAGAAGGUUUUCGGAUCGUAAAGCUCUGUUGUAAGAGAAGAACGAGUGUGAGAGUGGAAAGUUCACACUGUGACGGUAUCUUACCAGAAAGGGACGGCUAACUACGUG
rnacentral:rRNA from 1 species